CCUGAAGAUGAGCUUGUUUUGCGCAAUGUAACUUCCAUGCCCAUAAUUAGUGUAUAUAAAUUUUAAAAUCCUGCAAAUAAAUAUUUAUUCUGUAACGCGACAAUAAUAAAUAAUAAUAAACAAAUAACAACAAAAAGGAAUGUUAAUAAUAAUUAUAAGUAUAACUCUAAUCAAAUAACUAUAAACAUAUUGAUAUGGCAGCAAAAUUAAGCAAUUACUAUAUCAUUAUAUUUUAUCAAAGCUUAACUUUCACAAUUAAAUAAAGGCCAUUCUACAAACCCAAAAAUUUGCAUAUCUUAUAAAUCAGCCUAAAUGACCAAAACAAAAAUUUGAGGACAUAACUGAACAUUCGGAACCUUUGGAUACAUGUGUCCUGCAAAUAUAGGUAUUUGGCUCAAAUUCAGUAUUUAUUAUCAUUGAAGUUGCUUGAUGCUUGAUGACAUCGUAGUUUCAACUUUCAAGUGUAAAGUCACAGAGCUACUUUUUAUUUAAGAUUUAAUUGAUCAAACUUUCAAAACUUUAAAUAAUUCUCAUCAAUCAUAAAGAAUAAAGAAAAUCUAUACUACCAAAAUCAAACAUGAGAAAAAAGGUGUUGAAUGAUAUACUAUAGUCAUAAUUAAAUGUAAAUAGUGUAAGUGAAGGAGAGAUACAUUAGUGAUCCAGUUUCCUAUUCCAGCUGCACACCGUAUCGUCUCAUCAUCCGCCAUCUCUAAUCUAAAGCUGAUCUUGGGAGACUCAUCAUCAUCCACCGCCGCCUUUGAACCUUUCAACACCUGCACAACAACAAAUUAAUUAAUUGUUAUUUGGUGACUACAUAGAAGAGGGACUGGAAAGGAAAUAGCAAUAGUUGGAGGAGUUAGUUGCAAACUAUGCUUUAAACCUAAAAUCUGUUACAACAGAUUUUCGGUUAAGAGACUGGAGCAAGCCAACUUCUCAUCUUUCUUGCGGCUGCAUCUGUUAUCCUUUUUAUCUCAAAUCUUGUAUACAUAUUCAUCAUAUAGCAGUGAAUAAGUUUAGUUAGUUUUCAGCUGAAUAGAGAGAUAGGAUUUGAGAGUGCAGUAGCUUGAAGUUAGCUUGAUAACUGCAUUUCCUGUUCUUGUUGCUGAGUGUUGUAACUUGUUCUUGUCUCCUGUUUUCAUAGUGGAUUUUUCCUUACUUUGCAGCCGUGGACGUAGAUCUGAAAAGAUCGAACUACGUAAUCCUUGUGUCUCCUUUACUUUCUUGUUUUACAGUUCAUUCAAUUCUCUCAAACACUACACAAACUAAUUGAGUGAGAUUGUGAGUUGGUGAGCUGUUGUGUUCAUUGCUUUGUUGAAGUAAUUGAGAAUUCUUGGGUGUUGAAUUCGCAACAUUAAUAUUAGCAAGAACUUCAUGUACUGUUUUGCCUUUUGUUUUAUAAAAGCUAUAACAUCAACUAAGCUAUAACAUCAACUAAGCGACAACUUUAAUACAUCUGAACAAUUCAAACCAAUAUUGUUAUUCACAGAACAAAAUAUCUGAACUCAAAAUUUUGACAUAACCAAAUUUUUUUGACAGCCGCAAUUGAGAAACAAAAACAGAUCAACAUUCACGAAAUUCGAACACACACUUAAAAUAAGUUUUAGUCUUAUGUGUUCCUGUUAAAUGAAUAUUUCGUUAUCCAUGAAUAAUGCCAAAUACUUCUAGAGGUAGAUAGAUAAUUAUGCGAGUGAGAAGAGGAGAACCUGAUCGGAGCGCAGCGGCGAGGGAGGAGAACAACGAAAUCACUUACGAAUGCACGGCGCUGGUGUAGACAGGAGGAGAACAACGAAACCCAAGGUGUCUUCGAAGAGGUUUGAAG
rnacentral:lncRNA from 1 species